UUUCCGUAGGUGAACCUGCGGAAGGAUCAUUAUCAUGUAAUUCAGUCCCCUUGGCUGUGUUAUAUAUAUACCCACUCUGUGUACCUUCUCCUGUUGCUUCCGCUGGGUGUGUAAUUCGCCCGGCGGAAGGGUAAAAAUAACCUCUGAGUAUUGAUGAAAUCUCUGUCUGAACCGAAUAGAAAGAAAAAUGUUAAAACUUUCAGCAACGGAUCUCUUGGUUCUC
rnacentral:misc_RNA from 1 species